rnacentral:lncRNA from 1 species
UACAGUUUGCUUGGACGCCUCCAACCUGUAUCUCGUUUUUUUUGGCCAUAUAUUUGUUAUACUGAACCUGUAUAUCAGCAUAUAAUGCUGUAUACAGCAUGUAUACAGCCCACUUUUUUGGGCUUUUUGAGACCUCCAACCAGUCCUUAACCCCUGUAAAAAUUCGCUUAAGGCUGACUCGAUGGAGAGAGAUUGAGCCUCUAUGGCUCAUCUCGAGAAUGCAAGAGAGAAAAAGUCUCCCACGAACUCGGGAGAGGUUCAUACAACAAAAGAGGGAAGGCAAAAUUAGCAUAUGAAUAAGAUAAAACAAAUGCGACAUAACUCAAUUGAAGCGAAAGCUAUUUAAGAAAUUCGAAACUAAGAUGCAACCCAUCCCAACCAUUAGACCAAAAGAAACAGAUGAAUUUUUAGA